rnacentral:misc_RNA from 1 species
ACCGGGCUUAAAGCAAACCUUUGAAAAGUCUUUUAUCCAUUACCAAGCAAUCCAAAAUGCACAUGAUUUAAUAUACGAGUACUGUGUUGAAACCGUAAGCACGCGAGCUAGCCAAAUAUGUUUAAAAGCGCGAGUUACUUGAUGAGAUUCGUCUUCCGUGAGUUUUUGGCAAGAUGGCGAAGAAUCUCUCGAUGCGGGCUACACGUUACAUAUAUAGUCGACGAUUAUACGCGUCGUUUUAUUUGUUGCAUGUGUAGGCGACGAUGCGGAUGUGUAAUUAGGUGAGUGUGUACGUAUCUAUGCGUGUCUUUUUGUUUUCUUCUUUUUGUUUUCCAUUUGCAAUUCACAGUAUAAACUCGCUCUCCUCUCAGAGGCUGCUACCGUACUCGCUCGAUCUUCGUCGGUCGAUGUGCUUUAUGUACGUCUCCGAGUACAUGCUCUUAGUGCGGUCAUCGUACCUUAGGGACGGCCGACGGAAAUCGAGCGCCUCGAGGUCGGACGGCUCUCGUCUGCAGAGCGAACAGAACGCGCACUGCAGCGUAUUUUUGAAGGCUUCUCGGAAGUCCCGAUUGAAAUACGCGUAGAUCAGCGGGUUCAAUGCUGAGUUUGUGUACCCGAUCCAGAAAAGUAUUGCGAUAACGAUAUCGGGACAUGGGCAGGAUUCUCCGCACAGAGUCGUAAUAACGUACCUGUGAACAAAGAUUUCAGGAUUCAGCGAAGAUUUCGUUCGUAAUGAUUGAAUUAACACGUUCGGUGAACCUUGAACAAACUGGAAAAUUAAGACACUAGAAACAGAAAUAAUAUAUUAACCCUGCUGCGAGUCCCGAAU